rnacentral:rRNA from 1 species
UACGUAGGGGGCAAGCGUUAUCCGGAUUUACUGGGUGUAAAGGGGGCGCAGACGGCGAUGCAAGCCAGGAGUGAAAGCCCGGGGCCCAACCCCGGGACUGCUCUUGGAACUGCGUGGCUGGAGUGCAGGAGGGGCAGGCGGAAUUCCUGGUGUAGCGGUGAGAUGCGUAGAUAUCAGAAGGAACACCGGUGGCGAAGGCGGCCUGCUGGACUGCAACUGACGUUGAGGCCCGAAAGCGUGGGGAGCAAACAGG